ACGGAAGGCAGCAGUGGGGAAUAUUGCACAAUGGGGGAAACCCUGAUGCAGCGACGCCGCGUGAGUGAAGAAGUAUUUCGGUAUGUAAAGCUCUAUCAGCAGGGAAGAAAAUGACGGUACCUGACUAAGAAGCCCCGGCUAACUACGUGCCAGCAGCCGCGGUAAUACGUAGGGGGCAAGCGUUAUCCGGAUUUACUGGGUGUAAAGGGAGCGUAGACGGUUCUGCAAGUCUGAUGUAAAAGGCAGGGGCUCAACUCCUGGACUGCAUUGGAAACUGUAGAACUAGAGUGCCGGAGAGGUAAGCGGAAUUCCUAGUGUAGCGGUGAAAUGCGUAGAUAUUAGGAGGAACACCAGUGGCGAAGGCGGCUUACUGGACGGUAACUGACGUUGAGGCUCGAAAGCGUGGGGAGCAAACAGGAUUAGAUACCCUGGUA
rnacentral:rRNA from 1 species